CACGUAGGCACCAAGCGUUGUCCGGAUUUAUUGGGCGUAAAGAGCUCGUAGGCGGUUCGGUAAGUCGGGUGUGAAAACUCUGGGCUCAACCCAGAGCCGCCACCCGAUACUGCUGUGACUUGAGUUCGGUAGGGGAGCGGGGGAAUUCCUGGUGUAGCGGUGAAAUGACGCAGAUAUCGGGAGGAACACCUAUUGCGAAGGCAGCUCGCUGGGACGUCACUGACGCUGAGACGCGAAAGCGUGGGGAGCAAACAGG
rnacentral:rRNA from 1 species